AGAACGAACGCUGGCGGCAUGCCUAAUACAUGCAAGUCGAACGAACUCUUCGGAGUUAGUGGCGCACGGGUGCGUAACGCGUGGGAAUCUGCCCCUUGGUUCGGAAUAACAGUUGGAAACGACUGCUAAUACCGGAUGAUGACGAAAGUCCAAAGAUUUAUCGCCAAGGGAUGAGCCCGCGUAGGAUUAGCUAGUUGGUGAGGUAAAGGCUCACCAAGGCAACGAUCCUUAGCUGGUCUGAGAGGAUGAUCAGCCACACUGGGACUGAGACACGGCCCAGACUCCUACGGGAGGCAGCAGUAGGGAAUAUUGGACAAUGGGCGAAAGCCUGAUCCAGCAAUGCCGCGUGAGUGAUGAAGGCCUUAGGGUUGUAAAGCUCUUUUACCCGAGAUGAUAAUGACAGUAUCGGAAGAAUAACGCCCGCUAAACUCCGUGCCAGCAGCCGACGGU
rnacentral:rRNA from 1 species